CCUACGGGAGGCAGCAGUGGGGAAUAUUGCACAAUGGGGGAAACCCUGAUGCAGCGACGCCGCGUGAGUGAAGAAGUAAUUCGUUAUGUAAAGCUCUAUCAGCAGGGAAGAAAAUGACGGUACCUGAGUAAGAAGCCCCGGCUAACUACGUGCCAGCAGCCGCGGUAAUACGUAGGGGGCAAGCGUUAUCCGGAUUGACUGGGUGUAAAGGGAGCGUAGACGGCAGUGCAAGUCUGGCGUGAAAGGCGGGGGCUCAACCCCCGGACUGCUCUGGAAACUGUACGGCUGGAGUGCAGGAGAGGGAAGUGGAAUUCCUAGUGUAGCGGUGAAAUGCGGAGAGAUUAGGAGGAACACCAGUGGCGAAGGCGGCUUACUGGACUGUAACUGACGUGGAGGCUCGAAAGCGUGGGGAGCAAACAGGAUUAGAUACCCCUGGUAGUC
rnacentral:rRNA from 1 species